rnacentral:rRNA from 1 species
UACGGGGGGGGCAAGCGUUGUUCGGAAUUACUGGGCGUAAAGGGCUCGUAGGCGGCCAACUAAGUCAUACGUGAAAUCCCUCGGCUUAACCGGGGAACUGCGUCUGAUACUGGAUGGCUUGAGUUCGGGAGAGGGAUGCGGAAUUCCAGGUGUAGCGGUGAAAUGCGUAGAUAUCGGGAGGAACACCAGUGGCGAAGGCGGCGAUCUGGGCUGAUACUGACGCUGAGGUGCGAAAGCGUGGAGAGCAAACAGG